rnacentral:tRNA from 1 species
GCGCGGGUAGCUCAGUGGUAGAGCGUUCGAUUGCAGCUCGAAGGGUCACUGGUUCAAUUUCGGUCCCGCGCU